UCGACUGUCGUGCCUGCGGACGCGUGUAUAGGAGUGGUGAAAAGGUACCUUGGAAUUAGUGGGGUUAAAGCGUGCGUAGGUGGGUUGGUAAGUCUGUCGUGAAAGCCCUGGGCUUAACCGGGGAACUGCGAUGGAAACUGGCUGACUAGAGUGUGGUAGAGGGUAGCGGAAUUCCUGGUGUAGCAGUGAAAUGCGUAGAUAGCAGGAGGAACAUCCAUGGCGAAGGCAGCUACCUGGGCCAACACUGACACUGAGGCACGAAAGCGUGGGGAGCUAACAGGAUUAGAUACCCCAGUAGUC
rnacentral:rRNA from 1 species